rnacentral:misc_RNA from 1 species
AAAGAUCGCAGCCUCGUUUCACUCGACAGCUCCUACAUCUAUCCCUUCUAGGAGCUGUCGAGUGAAACGAGGCUGCGAUCUUU